UACGUAGGGUGCAAGCGUUUGUCCGGAAUUAUUGGGCGUAAAGAGCUCGUAGGCGGUCUGUCGCGUCUGCUGUGAAAACCUGGGGCUUAACCCCGGGCCUGCAGUGGGUACGGGCAGACUAGAGUGUGGUAGGGGGAGACUGGAAUUCCUGGUGUAGCGGUGAAAUGCGCAGAUAUCAGGAGGAACACCGGUGGCGAAGGCGGGUCUCUGGGCCAUAACUGACGCUGAGGAGCGAAAGCGUGGGGAGCGAACAGG
rnacentral:rRNA from 1 species